AGAGUUUGAUCCUGGCUCAGAUUGAACGCUGGCGGCAUGCCUUACACAUGCAAGUCGAACGGCAGCAUGAUCUAGCUUGCUAGAUUGAUGGCGAGUGGCGAACGGGUGAGUAAUACAUCGGAACGUGCCCUGUAGUGGGGGAUAACUAGUCGAAAGAUUAGCUAAUACCGCAUACGACCUGAGGGUGAAAGUGGGGGACCGCAAGGCCUCAUGCUAUAGGAGCGGCCGAUGUCUGAUUAGCUAGUUGGUGAGGUAAAGGCUCACCAAGGCGACGAUCAGUAGCUGGUCUGAGAGGACGAUCAGCCACACUGGGACUGAGACACGGCCCAGACUCCUACGGGAGGCAGCAGUGGGGAAUUUUGGACAAUGGGCGAAAGCCUGAUCCAGCAAUGCCGCGUGUGUGAAGAAGGCCUUCGGGUUGUAAAGCACUUUUGUCUGGAAAGAAAUGGCUCUGGUUAAUACCUGGGGUCGAUGACGGUACCGGAAGAAUAAGGACCGGCUAACUACGUGCCAGCAGCCGCGGUAAUACGUAGGGUCCAAGCGUUAAUCGGAAUUACUGGGCGUAAAGCGUGCGCAGGCGGUUGUGCAAGACCGAUGUGAAAUCCCCGAGCUUAACUUGGGAAUUGCAUUGGUGACUGCACGGCUAGAGUGUGUCAGAGGGGGGUAGAAUUCCACGUGUAGCAGUGAAAUGCGUAGAGAUGUGGAGGAAUACCGAUGGCGAAGGCAGCCCCCUGGGAUAACACUGACGCUCAUGCACGAAAGCGUGGGGAGCAAACAGGAUUAGAUACCCUGGUAGUCCACGCCCUAAACGAUGUCAACUAGUUGUUGGGGAUUCAUUUCCUUAGUAACGUAGCUAACGCGUGAAGUUGACCGCCUGGGGAGUACGGUCGCAAGAUUAAAACUCAAAGGAAUUGACGG
rnacentral:rRNA from 1 species